ensembl:lncRNA
AUGGCAAGCCACCUGCUUCGGUUGGUGGCGGAAUUGACUCAAUCCCGUGUAGGCCUUUCACCGAGGACGCUCCGGAUCCUGAGCGAGAGGAACUACAGCACUGCACCCCCUCUGCCGCAGCCAGAUCACUUCGGGCACGGAGGAAGAGCAUGGGCAGCUGGCCCAGGACCCACCAUAUCACCUGAGCCAAGCAGGAGAGGCCCCUGCUCACCCUUGCAAAUGCGCUUGCCUUUGUCAGAUUGUGAGUUUGGAAGGAGAAGAAGCUGGGCAGAAAUCACCGAAACCCUCUUGGGUCCGCUCUCCCGUGUUGUAAAUCUCACGGAACAGGCCAUCUGGUCCAGGUCUGCCACAGUGGGCACAACCAGGCUCUCUAAAGCAGGAGGAAGCCAAGAAGGAGAUGCCUUCGGUCCUCUGCCCAUCACCUGCCAGAGAACCAGGAUGCUCGGUGGCAGUUGGCUUACCUUUUCCCAAACAGCCAUCUGUUGUCACAUCACUGUCAGCUGAGCCUGACUCUUCACUUGUGUCAGCCAGCUUCCAGAGUGUGCCGUGUGCCCAGAUCAGAUCAUCUCAGUCGCUCAGUCGUGUCCGACUCUUUGCGACCCCAUGAAUUGCAGCACGCCAGGCCUCCCUGUCCAUCACCAACUGCCGGAGUUCACUCAGACUCACGUCCAUCGAGUCAGUGAUGCCAUCCAGCCAUCUCAUCCUCUGUCGUCCCCUUCUCCUCCUGCCCCCAAUCCCUCCCAGCAUGAGUCUUUUCCAAUGAGUCAACUCUGCAACUUACUGUACCAAUUAUGCUUCAGUAAUAAUUUAUAUUACUGAAUAUAAUAUGCCAUUAUUAUGAAUAUAAUACAUGAAUAUAAUAAUAUUAUAUAAUAAUAUAAUGAAUAUAUGAAUAUAUAAUAUAAUAUAAUGAAUAUAAUAUAAUAUAUAAUAAUAUAAUAUAUGAAUAUAUGAAUAUAAUGAAUGUAAUAUGAAAUAUAAUAUAAUAAUAUGCCAUUUAAAAAGUUAAAGAAAACAUAUGCCAUAUCAGUCACAGGGAUUAGAUAUAUACCCUUGCCUUAGAUAACUAGAAAACCAGAAAAAGUAUAUGAAACAACCACGUACAACAUUGGACGACAGUCAAGGCAAGACUGUGAAGGGAAGCUAGCAAGGUGCCUCCUGUGAUGGCCCCAGCUCAUUGUCGAGAGAGAACUUGAAGCUGAUGAGCUUGUGGACUUGACAGAGUUCACAGUUGCUGGAGACCAAGGACAUUCACAUUUUCAGGGCAGAGUGCCAGAGAGAAGGGAGUUCUACACACAGAGAAAAACUCCAUUGUCUAUUAGAAACCUCAAGUCUUUGAUCUCUGAUCAUUGACUGCCCGUGUAAAAAUUCCUUGAGGCAAGAAAAAGAACCAUCUAAAAGGAGCAGAUGGGUCAAUUUCUGGAGUUUUUACAGGGCUGCAAAUUGUUGGCAUUCUCCCCAGCCAAAGUGCAGACCCUCUACCACAUGGGUUGUGUCCUCAGAAGGGUAUUCCCUUAAUCACAGUGCUAAAUUAGUCCUCGACUAAAUGUUGUUCUGGACAAAGUUGAAACGCAAGCCCUGAAAAGAUUAAACUGUUUCCAAGUAACUGUGAGCCAGAGCAAAGUCCAAUACUCUCUCCAGGAAUCAAGCAAAAUCUGAUACCUAAUAGUGUAAAAUGUCCAUUACCUAGCAUCCAAUAGAAAAUCACCAGGCGUGCCAAACAGCAGGAAAAUAUGACUUGUAACUGGGAGGGAAAAAAUAGAAAUAUGCCCAGAAAUGGCAGAGAUGAUGAAACUGGCAGGCAAAGACGUUAAAAUCGCUAUGAUAAAUCUUAUAAAUAUAUUCUAGGAUGUUAAAGGAAACCAUGAACUCAAUUAUGAGAGAAAUAGAAGAUACAAAAGAAAACUCAAGUGGAACAUCUGGAGGUGGAAAACACAAUAGCUGAAAAACAAAUUGUGAACAAAAAUCAUCGUCUCAUUGUUAGUGGAACUCACUUUGAGCCUGUCAAGUGAUCAUUGAAUCAUCUCUUCCUUGGAGACGCUUCCUUGGCUGGGACAAACUUAGUAUUCUGUGUUCUCACAGCGCUUCAGCCUCUUCUUCCAAGUACUUGCUGUGGUUGUAGUAUUUCCGCUAUCCAUGAGACUACGCGUUGCAUGUCUAUAAGGUCCAUGAGAGCAGGAGCGUGUUUUUGCUUACCUCUAUGCCAGUGCCUCAAGAAAAGCACUCAAUAAAUAUAUUUUGAAUGAAUGAAUGAAGGAGCUG